rnacentral:rRNA from 1 species
GGACUACCAGGGUAUCUAAUCCUGUUUGCUCCCCACGCUCUCGCGCCUCAGUGUCAGUAUCAGCCCAGGUAGUCGCCUUCGCCACUGGUGUUCCUUCCGAUAUCUACGCAUUUCACCGCUACACCGGAAAUUCCACUACCCUCUACCGUACUCUAGAUAAACAGUCUUAUAUGCAGUUCCCAGGUUAAGCCCGGGGAUUUCACAUCUAUCUUAUCUACCCACCUACGCGCCCUUUACGCCCAGUAAUUCCGAUUAACGCUCGCACCCUCUGUAUUACCGCGGCUGCUGGCAC